rnacentral:misc_RNA from 1 species
GAACGCACCUUGCGCCCUUUGGCUAUUCUGAAGGGCAUGCCUGUUUGAGUAUCAUGAACACCUCAACUCUCGUGGUCCGCCGCGAUGAGCUUGGACUUUGGGGGUCUUGCCGGCCUAGUGUCGGCUCCUCUCAAAUGGAUCAGCCUGCCAGUGUUUGGUGGCAUCACGGGUGUGAUAACUAUCUACGCUUGUGGUUUUCCACCACGUAACCUUCAGCGAUGGAGGUUCGCUGGGGCUCACAGAUGUCUCUCCUCGGCGAGGACGGCUUUUGAACGUUUGAUCUCAAAUCAGGUAGGACUACCCGCUGAACUUAAG